AUGAAGAAGCUACUAGCAAUGAUUCUGUGGCUUCAACUAGACCGGUUAAGUGGAGAGCUGAAAGUGGAACAAAACCCUCUGUUCCUGAGCAUGCAGGAGGGAAAAAACUAUACCAUCUACUGCAAUUAUUCAACCACUUCAGACAGACUGUAUUGGUACAGGCAGGAUCCUGGGAAAAGUCUGGAAUCUCUGUUUGUGUUGCUAUCAAAUGGAGCAGUGAAGCAGGAGGGACGAUUAAUGGCCUCACUUGAUACCAAAGCCCGUCUCAGCACCCUCCACAUCACAGCUGCCGUGCAUGACCUCUCUGCCACCUACUUCUGUGCCGUGGACA